rnacentral:snoRNA from 1 species
UUUUGGGAUGAAAUCUUGAUUCGUGUUGCUUGAAGAUUACUCAAUGUAAGCCACAAAUAGACUACAACGGUAUCUGAAG